UUGACAAAACAGUGUGUUCUUGCGUCUCGUUUGUUCAAGAGGCCUCGCAUUUUGUUCGCUAUUUAACGAUAAAACUCGACUGAUUUUUCGUCUCCUGCGUACAUAGGGAAACAAUGGUGUUUCAAACAGAAAACCUCGUGGAAAUCUAUUUCUAAUCACAGGCGAAUUUUCGAAAGUGGAAAUUUUAAUGAUGUAGAACAUGAUGAAAAAUGUUGAUCUGGACCAUGUCAAACUGGAAAGACGAAGAAGAAUAGCUUGAACACAAGGCUCGGUUUGGGAUUUUUGAUUCCGCUUCUAGCAGAGGGAUUAAUUUGUUGAUUUUUGAGGGCAUUGUGUGCGCUUUUGCUGAAAACUUGCGUGUUUUAUUGAAACCACGAUAAUGUCUAUGUAAUGAAAAUGGUCUUGUCUUUAGAAGGUUUUUUGGUUUUUCAGAAACUCUACACCUUGUCUGGAAUAAGGUGAUAUCAAAAGUAUUUGCUUACUUAUUCAAGCAAAUUUGGAACGAAGGAAUAUUGGAUUGCUCAAACAGACAGAUUGUCUUUCAGAAUUAUUGUGCUCAUUUUACAGUGUACUUUAAAACAAGCGUUGAAAACGUUGGACAAAAGGAUUCUCGACUAACCGUUUGCCAUUCUCACUUCCUCGAUCUCGCUGUCUGCGAUUCUUGAACCAGUUGCUGACUUGUGUCAAACUUAGUCCUGUUGCCUUUGCCAGUUCCCGUUUCUCUUGUGGUGUUGGGUAACGAUUAUGUUGGUAGGAUUGCCGAAGAGUAUCGCGGGAUUUUUCCUUAAAACAAUACACCGUCUGAUCGCCAUCCCAAAUGGUACGAGGCAGCGGAUGUUUUUUCCGUAUUCUGUAUUUAUCGACAGCACCCAGAGCACGACCUCGUUGUUUCGCCGCUUCACUGUAGUGUGCCAUGUACCAAAGCUCCUGAAGAGUUUCAUGCGAUGAAGCCUCAUAAUUGUGACUCUCGAGUAUUGCGUAAAGUUCACGGUAGUUUCCUUGGUGAAACGCUACUGCAGCACGAGCUUUAAGCACACUUUCAUCACAACUAAGUAGAUCAUGAGGCGGUAGGGACCACAGAAAUCGACUCAAUUGAUCCAUGUUGUUUGAUUGACGAAGUGCGUCGCAUAGGCAUGCUAUCUGCUCAGGUUUAAAACUGAAAGUUGCGCCGUUUCCACGAGUAUCGUUCACGUUUGUUUCGACUGCCAAUGCGUCCGUAUUGUAAUUCAUUUUCAGUAUAUACCCGAGUGGGUUGCGUUUGUUUUGUGUGAGUUUGCGUAUUUUGUAUGACUGUGGCAGGUCGUUUGGCUGCUUUCAUCAAAUUAUAAUUGGCAUAUUUACUUGGGAAAAUGUCAGCUUUUUAUAUCACGCUGCUGCAAGCGCAAAUAUGUCAAUGGGUCACGAACGAGCGCUUUUGAUUGGUUAGCGGAAGCAUUUAGGAAAUGCCACGGCCUUGCGUGAAUUUCGUCGUUGUUAAUGCUAAUUUUUACAAAACUCUGCACGUCGUUCGCAUUCACACUUAGUGUUUAUAUUUAAUGUGUCUGUAUUGACUUUCUUUGUCAUGUGACUCAUUGUCACCCUUAUUUUCAUCGAAGAGCCCAAUCUUGCGUGAUUGUUUUAAACAUUAUACUCCUCGUUAUGUAAAUAUACUAAUCAAACAUUUCUCUUUGAUACCAUCAAUGAACUAGGAUUAACAAAUAACAUUUUGGCAUAGGCAUGUGAUAAUCUAGACCCAGGAAUUUUCCGCGACAUUAACGAAUCUUACAGCAGGAAAAGUCAAUUAGGUUUUUUAGAAGGCGUUUCAAAAUUGCAGAAGUUUUUCAAAACCUUCAAAUGAUGAAUUCUUUUGUAAUUGGAAACGAAACUGAUGCGUUUUAGUAUCAUACAACUUGCAAAACUCUACAAUUGCAUAAGUUGAAAGGUUUUCAACCAUUUAGAGUGAAAUAUCUCAUCAAAACCAGAUAUAGGUGUUAGAAUUACCACCAAGUAUAAGAAUCUUAGAGAAAAGUGGAUGGAUGCACUGAAAAAGGACACGAAGUUGUGUGGUUUGAGAGAAAAGGAUACAGUAGACAAAAACAUGGGCGAACGGGAGCUGUCAUUUCAUGAGUGGCAGUAAAUAUUUUCCUCAACUCACAAUGAGUUUUCUGCCAUAUUUCUGAAUAACCUUUAAACUUUGCCUAACUUUUUAAUCUUCAAACUUUCUUGGAUGGGCAACUGCUCCCCGUCCCGUACGCCAGUGGGCAGAAAUAGAUAGAGUCAGAUGAUUUGCAGUGGCGCGACCCCUGAAAAGAGGACAGUUGAGAGCAGAAAACAUGUUGUGUCAUAUAUACUUAAUUUACUUCCAUCAUGAAAAUCAAAUAUUUCAUUCAUAAUCAUGUGCUCAUACAACAUAUGCAUCUAAAGACAGAAGAAAUCAUUUUCAUAUGCUUGACUGGUAACUGCUAAAGAUAGCUUGUUGCCUGUGAUUUACAACCGUAUUUCGUCUUAUGCACGCUUCAGCAUUUAUUAUUGUUAACUUUUCAUUUGAAUGAAAGUGUGAAAUAUAUGAUUUUUAACCAAAA